rnacentral:pre_miRNA from 1 species
AGUGGAAAUAGCUGGGUCAGAUGGUUGCAUUCCAAGUUUUCUGAGGAAUCUCCGUACUGCUUUCCAGAGUGGUUCACCAAUUUGCAGUUCCACCAGCAAU